rnacentral:lncRNA from 1 species
UUCGAUCCACCCUUGUGUAUUUUUACACAUACUUGAAUAAAAUCAAAAGAUUUUUCAUUUCAUAAGAUAAAUACGAUAUAAAUAUAAGAUUUAAUAUUUCUUUAAGAGAAAUUCAUCAAUUUAUUCAAUGAAUAAGACUAUAUAAUUCAGGGGGAAAAUAAUAAACACUUGUUGUACGCGCUAAAGGACAAGCUCGAUCAACAUAACAGAAAUUUUAACUUCAGCAUCAAUAGAACAUUAUGGCACGUUGACAAUUGGCUCUGUCACAACUCAAACACAACAUAUUAGGAGUGAUUGCAAGCACUUAAUUAAGGAAAUCAACCCUGGAAUAUCCAAAGCGACGAGCAUAAAUCGAUAAAAGCAUCAAGCAUUCACCAAACUAGAGGGGACAGCGACAAAACUAACCCUCAAAUUACUUGCAAAAGCAAGACUACAUGUAUAAGCAAGACUAAAAAGCGUAAUACAAGAGUAGACAAAAACUUUUAAAAGUGAAGGCUUAUUAAACAAUGGAAAAAUAAAUGAAAAACAUAAAAAAACUUAAUAUAACGCGAGUCCAAACUGACUCAUGAAAUCAUUUAUUAUUCUGAAACUCUCAAAACAAAAAUAAAUUAAGAAGUUAACGAAGAGUUACCCACUUUCUAAAAGAAACUGUCGGUGGUGUUUCAACAAUGAUAGACACAUUCAUCUGCCCAUCACAACUUGUGAAGACAACAAAGAUAUCCACAAAAUAGAUUUGUAAACUGAAAAGAGAGAAGACACAUGGAGUGAAUGAGAAUAAUAAAGAAAAAAGGGUUGAUGGGCGGGAGAAAAAGACGGAUGAUAGCUAGCUCAGAAGCUAACACCGCUACUAGGUAAAAACAAAAAGAAGCAAACGAUUUGGAGCAAUUGUUUCAAUGUAUUGAAGCUUUUUACUCAUUUCUUUAUAUGAUUGCAAA